rnacentral:rRNA from 1 species
CCUACGGGAGGCAGCAGUGAGGAAUAUUGGUCAAUGGACGAGAGUCUGAACCAGCCAAGUAGCGUGAAGGAUGACUGCCCUAUGGGUUGUAAACUUCUUUUAUAAAGGAAUAAAACGAGGCACGUGUGCCUUUUUGCAUGUACUUUAUGAAUAAGGAUCGGCUAACUCCGUUCCAGCAGCCGCGGUAAUACGGAGGAUCCGAGCGUUAUCCGGAUUUAUUGGGUUUAAAGGGAGCGUAGAUGGGUUGUUAAGUCAGUUGUGAAAGUUUGCGGCUCAACCGUAAAAUUGCAAUUGAUACUGGCAGUCUUGAGUACAGUUGAGGUAGGCGGAAUUCGUGGUGUAGCGGUGAAAUGCUUAGAUAUAACGAAGAACCCCGAUGGCGAAGGCAGCUUACUAAACUGUGACUGACAUUGAUGCUCGAAAGUGUGGGGAUCAAACAGGAUUAGAUACCCUUGUAGUC